GGGUGAGUAACACGUGGAUAACCUACCUAUAAGACUGGGAUAACUUCGGGAAACCGGAGCUAAUACCGGAUAAUAUUUUGAACCGCAUGGUUCAAAAGUGAAAGACGGUCUUGCUGUCACUUAUAGAUGGAUCCGCGCUGCAUUAGCUAGUUGGUAAGGUAACGGCUUACCAAGGCAACGAUGCAUAGCCGACCUGAGAGGGUGAUCGGCCACACUGAACUGAGACACGGUCCAG
rnacentral:rRNA from 1 species